UCGGGAAUUUUGGGCAAUGGGCGAAAGCCUGACCCAGCAACGCCGCGUGAAGGAUGAAGUAUUUCGGUAUGUAAACUUCGAAAGAAUAGGAAGAAUAAAUGACGGUACUAUUUAUAAGGUCCGGCUAACUACGUGCCAGCAGCCGCGGUAAUACGUAGGGACCAAGCGUUGUUCGGAUUUACUGGGCGUAAAGGGCGCGUAGGCGGCAAUUCAAGUCAUCUGUGAAAUCUCCGGGCUUAACUCGGAACGGUCAGAUGAUACUGCUUUGCUAGAGUGCAGAAGGGGCAAUCGGAAUUCUUGGUGUAGCGGUGAAAUGCGUAGAUAUCAAGAGGAACACCUGAGGUGAAGACGGGUUGCUGGGCUGGACACUGACGCUGAGGCGCGAAAGCCAGGGGAGCAAACGGGAUUAGAUACCCUAGUAGUCCCUGAGCGGGCUGGCAAGGCGCAU
rnacentral:rRNA from 1 species